rnacentral:rRNA from 1 species
UACGUAGGGGGCGAGCGUUGUCCGGAUUUAUUGGGCGUAAAGAGCUCGUAGGCGGUUCGGUAAGUCGGAUGUGAAAUCUCCACGCUCAACGUGGAGGGGCCAUUCGAUACUGCCGUGACUCGAGUCCGGUAGGGGAGUGUGGAAUUCCCGGUGUAGCGGUGAAAUGCGCAGAGAUCGGGAGGAACACCCGUAGCGAAGGCGGCACUCUGGGCCGGUACUGACGCUGAGGAGCGAGAGCGUGGGGAGCGAACAGG